ensembl:lncRNA LINC02003 long intergenic non-protein coding RNA 2003
AGGGGGCGGGGGAUGGCGAUGGGAGAGAGAAAGAGAUCUACGGACCCUCUGGAUGGCCGGAGCAGACACUACAGUCUUCACCAGAGGCAGCCCCAUAAAAAUGUCAUCGUCUCGGGCUCUCCCCGCAUUACAACACAAUGAUUUCUUUGGGGAGGAGAAAAAAAAACUAAGAUUUAUUUUGCAACCACACCUCCGCCUCCCUUGGAAGAGAAAUACUGACCAACAACAAGUUGUGAAUGAAAUGUCUGCAGAUCGGCCCCCCUCGCCCAGCCUGAGAACUUUCCAGACGGAAAGGCGCACACGUGCACACAGCACCAGCUGAGCCGAUUUGUGCUGCUCUCAGCAGCCACCGGGGAUGGAGGAACCGCUCAAGGAUCUCCAGAGUGCGAGCCUGGUUCGGGACAAAGUUGCCCAACCUAGUGGUGUGAGCCACGUAAGGAGCUGGGGAGAGGGGAGUCUGUCCCCAAGACAAUGACAGCAUCUAGGGCUCAGUGCCAGGCUCCCGGGAGAAGCAAACAAGCCAUGGCUUUAGGGAGGGGUGCAGGCUCAUUAGAGAGCCCACUGAAGUGUUACCACCAUGCAGAGAGGAGGGGUGAGAGGGCACGGCUCUCCUCUGCCAGUUUUUUUCUCUUGGGACGGGGAAGCAGUGCUGCUUGGAAAAUAGCAAACUCAAACCUUCCCCCCAAAUGCCAGAAAUGUUCCCGGGAGUCCAGGCCACAAGGACAGUGUGUGCAAUGGCUUGGACCAGGCCAGAGCUGUUCUCCCUCCCCUUAAACUAUGCAUAAAAAGGAGGUUCCCCCACAUGCUCCUCCUGGGAUCUUUCUGGGGUUAUCCCACAUGAACCCGCUUAGAUUGCCUUUGAGGAAACAGAGAAGUGAAGAUCCCCCAUCCACUCCCCAUUUUGGAAAAGUGGACAUCAAGGCCCAGAGAAGGGACAGGACCAGCCCAAUGACCAACAGAGUCACCAGUGACUCUGGGGCUAUGCCUAGGACUCUGUCUCCAGUCUACUGUUCAUUCCCAAGGACAAGCCCACAACACAGUAGCAGCACCUGCAGAUGGAAAGCCUUCGAUCUCAAUGUCACCUGUUUGCCGCUUUCUGCAUAAGUAAUGUCAUUGUUGGAAUGAGUUUAUGAUGGUCUCCAUCCCCAUUUCUAUGAGCUGUGAGCAAGACAUCUGCUGCAUAGCUCACGUGUGUUCAGGCCUCCCUGGACCAGCAGCUCUGACUCACACACGCACAGAACGAUAACGCAGAUGGGAGCAUGCGCCUGGAAGGCCACCCUGCUGCACAGCACACUGACUGAGCAAGAACAAAGACCGUAAAUGAAGAAGGAUGUUUGCAUUCUGCUCCUCGCUUGCCUGAAAACAGGAAACUUUGGAGACCUGUUCUGGCAAGGUUUCCACCUCUUCCUCACCCCAAAGGUGAAUAGCCUAAGAGGUCUUAUUUUUAUUACUUUUUUUUAAGAGGACAAAUCCUUUCCAAAGCA